UUGCAUUUCUCAAACUUCAUAAUAUUGCUCUUAUCUUGAAAAGAUAUACCAUUUGAGAAUAUAUAAAGGCAAUAAAAAUACACAAAUCUUCCUCAUGCAAUGUCAAGCCUGUCUAGCAUCAUCUUAAGGGCAUGCUGAUAUGCAUCCAUGAUCUUCCACGAGCGAUGGAUCUUAAAUUCAUCGAGGAUCACCAGAUGAAGACGACCAACAUCCCUUGAGAUAUGAAACACCUCCAUCUCCUGCACAGCGCUGCUCACC
rnacentral:lncRNA from 1 species